UACGUAGGGCGCAAGCGUUGUCCGGAAUUAUUGGGCGUAAAGAGCUCGUAGGCGGUCUGUUACGUCCGCUGUGAAAACCCAGGGCUUAACCCUGGGCUUGCAGUGGAUACGGGUAGACUAGAGGCAGGUAGGGGAGAAUGGAAUUCCCGGUGUAGCGGUGAAAUGCGCAGAUAUCGGGAGGAACACCGGUGGCGAAGGCGGUUCUCUGGGUCGGCCCUGACGCUGAGGCGCGAAAGCGUGGGGAGCGAACGGG
rnacentral:rRNA from 1 species